CGGCGCGCCGGUGACGUCACGGCCCGCGCCCGGCCAUUGAUUCCCGGCUGAAGGUAGCGCGGGCGACGUGGUGGGGGAGGGCGGGGGGAGGGUCCGGCGGCGGCGGCCACCCGGCGCGGGCUGCGUCCCGAGGAAUUCCCGGACGCGCAGCGCACCCCGGGGAUAAUACCCGCUGCCCGAGCGUGUCUCGCUCAGUGACGGCGUGGGAGGCCACCGCGGAGAGCCCGCUGCGGGGUCACGGCCGCUGCGCACAGCCUCCGUCUGGCUCUGGUGCAGGAGGCCUAGUUGCGUCACCUCCCUUUCCUUCAUCUGUUUGGCUUGAUUCCUGGGCCCCACUGGAGGCAUUGUCCAGAUGUGAACCAAGAUUUGGCCUUUUCACCAAGAGAAAAGGGAAGGCUCAUGGGCAUGGGCACACAGUGCUGAGAUCGUGGGCACACAGUAGGUAUUUGGUAAAUGCUUAUGGAAAGAACAAAUCUUGAGGCAUUGUCAUUCUUGCCAGAAGGAGGCCCUAUGCUUAAUGCCACCAAGUCUCCUUAAGCUAGCUAUUUUUAUACUACAACACAUUGUAACAUAAGCAUCUGAUUCGUGGAUUUAAAGAUCUGAAACUCUUUCAGACCAAGAUUGGUGUUAUUAUCUGUGACUAACUGAUUAGAGUUUUUAAGUAUGCGAACAAUGGAAUCUGAGCUUUUGGGCUUUUGUAGUGAUCUCUUGAGAUAUACCAAUUUGUUUUGCUCUAACAUCUGUUCAACUUGGACUUUAAUGGGUA
rnacentral:lncRNA from 1 species